rnacentral:miRNA from 1 species
AGAUGAACUCGACUCGGCUGAUG